rnacentral:piRNA from 3 species
CACUCUAAGCGGUGGAUCACUCGGCUCAUG